GUUUUAAGUGUCUUGGUGUUCUGAAACACCACAGAGACCAUGGAUAAGAGACAUCUUCAUGUGAAAUAACAAUGAAAAGACAGAAAGUGACAUCACCAAGGUCCUGGGCAUAAUGAACUUGGCCAUAGAGUUGAAAUUCCACUUCACUAUCAACACUCAGUUCACUGGAUGAUUCAUCUCGGUAAAGGUCGUCUUCAUAUGCUUCUAUAUCCUCAUACCCACCAAACAUUAUGGAAAAGCAGUGA